UGUAUGCGGUUGAAACUGUAUAUCUAGAGUACUGGAGAGGUAAGCGGAAUUCCCGGUGUAGCGGUGAAAUGCGUAGAUAUCGGGAAGAACACCAGUGGCGAAGGCGGCUUACUGGCCAGUAACUGACGCUGAGGUGCGAAAGCCAGGGGAGCGAACCGGAUUAGAUACCCGGGUAGUCCUGGCCGUAAACGAUGAAUGCUAGGUGUGGGUGGGUGAACCAUCCGUGCCGGAGUUAACGCGAUAAGCAUUCCGCCUGGGGAUUACGACCGCAAGGUUGAAACUCAAAAGAAUUGACGGGGGCCCGCACAAGCGGUGGAGCACGUGGUUUAAUUCGAUGCAAACCGAAGAACCUUACCUGGAUUUGACAUGUACGUUUUAUUGAGCUGAAAGGC
rnacentral:rRNA from 1 species